rnacentral:rRNA from 1 species
UACGUAGGGUGCAAGCGUUAAUCGGAAUUACUGGGCGUAAAGCGUGCGCAGGCGGUUAUGCAAGACAGAUGUGAAAUCCCCGGGCUUAACCUGGGAACUGCAUUUGUGACUGCAUAGCUGGAGUACGGCAGAGGGGGAUGGAAUUCCGCGUGUAGCAGUGAAAUGCGUAGAUAUGCGGAGGAACACCGAUGGCGAAGGCAGUCCCCUGGGCCUGUACUGACGCUUAUGCACGAAAGCGUGGGGAGCAAACAGG